CCCCGGCCUACGUUGGCUAAAACGUCAAGGUGUGACCGGGCCUUAAGGUUCUGCUUAUUCUCCGAGUUUGGCAAGUUGUACGUGAAGGUGUCAUGUUAAUCUAAGUAUGGCGUAUAGGCAAUGUGGUUGUGCUGUUGCAAUAAUUAAUAUUGCCAUAUAGGUGGUGCAUUAGUGCUAUUUCAUGCUUAUACAGUCUUUAAUGCUUGGGGCUCUUCUUAAAAAAAAAAAGAAAGAAAGAAAGAAAGAAAGAAAUAUGAUUUGGGAGUGAGUCCCAGUUUCUCAAUAUUUUCCAGCACUCAGUCUGUGGAAUGUUUCUAUUUGCUAUCACAACACUUCUGUAUUUUAUAUGCAAGGUAGUCGGAGAGGAUAUUUUGGGGGAAAUAGUGAGAAGGAAGAUGCAUAUUUUGAGAUUGGUCUUUACUGAUGGUGUUAAUUUUUCUUUUUAUUUUACAGAUGGAAACAACUCUGUCAGCUUGCAGAUGACUACUUUUGAGGGGUCUGCAGAAGACAGCAUGCAAGGGCGAAAUAUGCACAGAAAUGCGUGCUGUGAAACACGCCGAAUGAACCACCAGUUUUUCUUCAAAAGACCUCAAGAAAUGGAGUCCAACAAUCUAACGCAAGUGGAAAAUGAUUACAAUGAUUGUCUUGGUAAUGACAAUUACGAAAUGCUUGUGCCAAAUCAAGGACAGAAGGAGGAAAAUGUGCAAUGCACACCGAUGCUGCAAGUAGGAAUGAGAAGCAACGAUAGGACCGUGACUGAAUGUGAUAAAAAUGUCAGUCAGGAUGAGCCGACAACUCGAGCAGAACCAGAAAACACUUCGUCACAGCCAUCGUCAAACCGAAGCAGCAAAGCUGCAGCAAACAGUGGUCACAGUUUUGAAAGUCCAGCAGCAGCUGAAGGAGGGAUGGAAGAGGAAGUGAGUGGGCAGGGCUCAAUGGGAGAGAAUGAAAUAUUUAAUGAAGCAGAGGCAAUAGUUAUUGCAGAAAAGCUGGGUAUGAAAUUUAUGCUUCAGGAAGAGGAAGCUUUUCCGAACACAAUUAAUGAAGACAAGGAUUUGGACAGAAACCAAGGUAAGAUGCUUCUUUUAUGUUUGCUAACAAAACUGUGCAUUAUUUAUCAUAGUACAGCGGAUAAGCACAAUAAUUGUGCGUUUUAUGAGAAAAGCAUGAAUUUUCUGACAUAGUUAGUGAAUACCAUAAGGUAUAUUUUCAGAUGUGGAGGGAAGUCAGAUUUGACCUCUGAGGACCGUGAGAGGUCAAAUCCAAGAUGGCCACCAGUCCACCGGGUCUAAUGUUCAAACGCGCUUAAUUUUGGAACCAAACAGUGUCGAAAAACAUUUAAGGUGUCAUUUCCAACUAAAUUGGGGAUGCCCAUUCAUUUGAUGAUACGUUUGAAAUCACCAGCAUUCAAGGAAAUGCAUUUAGGUCAAGGUCAAGGUAAAAAUUGACCAAAAAUAAGCAAUCAGUUUAAAUUUGCAAAUGAACCCCCAGUGGUGUCUCAUGUUUGAGAUGUCAUUUUAAACGAAUCUUCAGAUGCCCAUAUAUUUGAUGUUAAUUUACAGGUUGCCAGAAGAGGUCAUACAUUGAGGUCAAGGUCAAGACUGAAGUAUCCCAAGUAUGCCGAUAUCUGAAAAUAAUCAAGAUUAAGUCAAAACAGAAGGCAAAGCUCGCAGCACUGAAGAGUGCCUGUGGUCUCUUUUCGAGACUGUACAUCUGUCAAACACGAGAUGAAAACAUGGACAGUUUCUUCUUCUAUGAAAACCAUGCAGCCCCACUAGCUCUGUCAACUGGAGGAAAAAUGUGGAUUGGGGUUAAAGCAGAUCUACUUCGCUGCCUGGAAUCAGAUCUGCUCAAAAACGAUAGUGCGCCUGUGGCUUAUGCAACAACUCUCUAUGGUGCAGCUGUGGUUCAAAUGCUAAAUCCUGGAACAUCAAGAACAUUUCAAGAGUAUAGAGAAAGAGUGUUUGCACCAUACCUCUCUGCUCAACUUGAGAAAAGCAGCCGCAUCGACCUUGUCUGGGAUGUAUACCGACCUGCCAGGCUGAAAGCCUCAACCAGACAGAAGAGGGGAAAGGGCACCAGGAAAAGGAUGGCUCCUUCUACUGUGAUGCCAAAGAAAUGAAAGGACUUCCUUCGAUGCAAUGAGAAGG
rnacentral:lncRNA from 1 species